rnacentral:misc_RNA from 1 species
GAAAUGCGGACGCGUCCAGAUCUCGCCCCAUGCAUAACGGGUGAUGAGAUCGAGGAAGUCGGCAUUGAAUGCGUUCUUGCUUGCCGCCGACUUGUCGACCCAGGCGUUGCCGAGCACCUUGCGCCGUUUUGCCGUUCCCUGAUCGCGGCGUUGAUUAUCGUCCAUGGCUUCUCUCUCAGCGCUGGGUCAGAAAGCCGACC